ensembl:snoRNA Gm25835 predicted gene, 25835
GCUCUAUGAUGAAUCCCAUGCGUGUCAUCUGAGCCUAACUUCCCUGUUGUCUUGGGCCCUGUUAGUGUUCUACUUCCCAGGGCUGUCUGGCCUGUCAGGGAAUUUCUGGGCAAAGGAUCAGUCCUUAAAUUCUGAGAGC